rnacentral:lncRNA from 1 species
AAGGAUGGCUCGGAGAGAAGAAGGAUAGUUUUGUGCCGAUAACAAGCAUGUAUGCCGAAAGGUUGGAGAAAUCGUUGUCGACCUGCAAGCUCUCAGCUGGUGCAACCUCGAAAUAGCUCCUAGGUUCGUACAUAGGUUGUGACUAUUUUUCCGUACCAUGCUUAGUUGUGUUGUCAUAUAUUGCUUAGGAGAGUUGUCAGAGUUUUAUGUGUGCAAUAUUUAAUUGCUUCCCUAAGAUGGUGGUUGUUUUGCUUACAUUCUUUAUGUUCUAAAACGACUACUUUUAUGGAUGUCUCCUUUAAGAAUUCCCGUGUUUGUGGUGGAUUGCUGUCUUGCUGACAUCCUCUGUUGCAAUGCAACUAUCCCAUUAUGAUAGUUCGAGAUUAUGAUCAAACAUGAAUGUUGGUCUCUUACAUUUCAGUUGGGUGUGUUGUUAUACAACAUACUCUUAUAAUUUUAGUUUACUAAAAUAGCCAGCUGGAUACCAUUGUUUUCACUUAUGCUUAGGACACCAAAAUCCACAUGUCCAGUGAUAUGGUUUAUUGAGUAGGUGAUCGAUGCAGGUUAUGAGUUCAAUUGUCCUAGCUUUCCGAUUGUUCAUUUGGGUUUCAGCAUGUAAAGUUUGAUUUUCUUUGUGAUGUUCAAUGGAGUUGUGGCCAUUGUAUGGUUCCUCGGGAAAACACCAAUAGUUUGUAGCUCUGCGUAUUGGUCCUUGCUAUUAUUCUUAGUUCAGUCAUGUUUUGCGCAUUACGUCGGUAGGCGAUUUUCAUCUCACUGUUCCGGAAAAUGCAGGAUGAGAACAAGCUAACUGCUGGGGAUUGUAGGUAUGUAGGUCGAGACGGUUUGACGGAUAUGAGGUGAGGCAGAGAUUAGACAACAUUGGAGGUCUGAUAUUGCUGAGAAGCGAGUUGAAGCAGUUGCUGAGGUGGUAGAACCUGCCGUAACUGAAGCUGAUGUUAUUGUGGUCGCUGAUGAUCAUCAUAUGUGGUAUGGCGCUACAUUUGUUGGUGUGCAAUCUGUGGC